UCUGCAGGUCAGAGGGAAGGGGACGGUGGCUGCCCACCCGGCGGGAGAAGCUUCAAGAAGCGUCGGGAGGACCUGGCCAGGCUGAUUUUGACGGAUCUAGGGAAGAUUAACCGAGAGUCUGACACCUGUAAACGUCUGAAAGAAACUUUGAGGGUUUAUUUUCUCUGAGAGCUGCUACCGUUUCGGAGAUGUAAGCAGGAUACGAAAGCUCUGCUCUUCUGGAAUCUGCAGUGAAUAAUCCAGGAUCUGAUCAGCUGUCAUAAAGGUAAGAAUUUCUUUUUACCAGCCGGGCUCCCGGCCUCCUCCUCUGUGUGGAAUCUGAUCAAGUGGACAGUAAAACUCACUGUUUCUUUCUUUUCCCUCUCCAAAAUCUUGCUUAAUUGGAGAAAAGAAUUUGUGUGACUAGUCUUGGGUGUAGUGACUCUGGUGUGCUUUUUGGUACUUUGUGGUACCAAUU